rnacentral:rRNA from 1 species
AACGAUGAACCUCCUUCGGGAGGGGAUUAGUGGCGAACGGGUGAGUAACACGUGGGCAAUCUGCCCUGCACUCUGGGACAAGCCCUGGAAACGGGGUCUAAUACCGGAUACGAGUUUCACAGGCAUCUGUGAUUCUGGAAAGCUCCGGCGGUGCAGGAUGAGCCCGCGGCCUAUCAGCUUGUUGGUGAGGUAACGGCUCACCAAGGCGACGACGGGUAGCCGGCCUGAGAGGGCGACCGGCCACACUGGGACUGAGACACGGCCCAGACUCCUACGGGAGGCAGCAGUGGGGAAUAUUGCACAAUGGGCGCAAGCCUGAUGCAGCGACGCCGCGUGAGGGAUGACGGCCUUCGGGUUGUAAACCUCUUUCAGCAGGGAAGAAGCGAAAGUGACGGUACCUGCAGAAGAAGCGCCGGCUAACUACGUGCCAGCAGCCGCGGUAAUACGUAGGGCGCAAGCGUUGUCCGGAAUUAUUGGGCGUAAAGAGCUCGUAGGCGGCUUGUCGCGUCGGAUGUGAAAGCCCGGGGCUUAACCCCGGGUCUGCAUUCGAUACGGGCAGGCUAGAGUUCGGUAGGGGAGAUCGGAAUUCCUGGUGUAGCGGUGAAAUGCGCAGAUAUCAGGAGGAACACCGGUGGCGAAGGCGGAUCUCUGGGCCGAUACUGACGCUGAGG